rnacentral:rRNA from 1 species
GCAAGUUGAGCGGUAAGGCCCUUUCGGGGUACACGAGCGGCGAACGGGUGAGUAACACGUGAGCAACCUGCCCCUGACUCUGGGAUAAGCGGUGGAAACGCCGUCUAAUACCGGAUACGACCCGCCACCUCAUGGUGGAGGGUGGAAAGUUUUUCGGUCAGGGAUGGGCUCGCGGCCUAUCAGCUUGUUGGUGGGGUAACGGCCUACCAAGGCGAUUACGGGUAGCCGGCCUGAGAGGGCGACCGGCCACACUGGGACUGAGACACGGCCCAGACUCCUGCGGGAGGCAGCAGUGGGGAAUAUUGCGCAAUGGGCGAAAGCCUGACGCAGCGACGCCGCGUGGGGGAUGACGGCCUUCGGGUUGUAAACCUCUUUUACCACCAACGCAGGCUCGAAGUUCUCUUCGGGUUGACGGUAGGUGGGGAAUAAGGACCGGCUAACUACGUGCCAGCAGCCGCGGUAAUACGUAGGGUCCGAGCGUUGUCCGGAAUUAUUGGGCGUAAAGAGCUCGUAGGCGGCGUGUCGCGUCUGCUGUGAAAGACCGGGGCUUAACUCCGGUUCUGCAGUGGAUACGGGCAUGCUAGAGGUAGGUAGGGGAGACUGGAAUUCCUGGUGUAGCGGUGAAAUGCGCAGAUAUCAGGAGGAACACCGGUGGCGAAGGCGGGUCUCUGGGCCUUACCUGACGCUGAGGAGCGAAAGCAUGGGGAGCGAACAGGAUUAGAUACCCUGGUAGUCCAUGCCGUAAACGUUGGGCGCUAGGUGUGGGGACUUUCCACGGUUUUCCGCGCCGUAGCUAACGCAUUAAGCGCCCCGCCUGGGGAGUACGGCCGCAAGGCUAAAACUCAAAGGAAUUGACGGGGGCCCGCACAAGCGGCGGAGCAUGUUGCUUAAUUCGACGCAACGCGAAGAACCUUACCAAGGUUUGACAUCACCCGUGGACUCGCAGAGAUGUGAGGUCAUUUAGUUGGCGGGUGACAGGUGGUGCAUGGCUGUCGUCAGCUCGUGUCGUGAGAUGUUGGGUUAAGUCCCGCAACGAGCGCAACCCUUGUUCCAUGUUGCCAGCACGUAAUGGUGGGGACUCAUGGGAGACUGCCGGGGUCAACUCGGAGGAAGGUGGGGAUGACGUCAAGUCAUCAUGCCCCUUAUGUCUUGGGCUGCAAACAUGCUACAAUGGCCGGUACAAUGGGCGUGCGAUACCGUAAGGUGGAGCGAAUCCCUAAAAGCCGGUCUCAGUUCGGAUUGGGGUCUGCAACUCGACCCCAUGAAGGUGGAGUCGCUAGU